rfam:Phaethon lepturus contig98745, whole genome shotgun sequence.
CCAAAGGCUCUUUUCAGAGCCACCAACUCGAUCUCUAAAGAGCUG